GGCGGGGAGCGCGAGCGGGCGAGCGGAGCUGGGCUGCGGAAGAAACGGAGGAGCAGGCCGAGCUGAGGAGGAGGCGGGGUGCUGGGCCGGCACAGCUGGGCCGCGGAAAGAGGAAAAGGAGGAGGGUCGGCGGAAGAAAAAGAAAGAGGAAGGGGCGCGGGUGAUGCUGGGCCGCAAGAGAAAAAGAAAGGGAAGGGGGAAAGGGAGAUGCGGCCUAGGAAGGAGAUGAAGAAAAAAAAAAGAGAGAGAGAAAAAGAAAUGGUUUUGGAAUUUGAAUUCAAAUUUGGAAAUUCAAAAUUCAAACUUUGAUUCAAACUUAAGCAACCAAAAAUUAUGCUCCAGCAUGAAUGCACAAAUAAUUCCUAUGAUGAAUUAAUUGAAUUAAAGAAAAUGAAUUUAAAUGCCUAGAAAUUAAAUGACACCUUAAUUUGAGCAAAUUUUAAUUAAUUUGAAUUAUUGAAAUUUUGGGUGUUACAAUUACCAAUUUAAAUCACUCGAUAAAAAUGCAUUCCAAAAUUUUCCGACCGUUGAGCCCGACAAAUCUUUUCCUUCCCGUCGGAUUCGUCAUUCUGGCCCCGACGUCGUCGACCCUCCUUUUCUGUUCCCCGUAUUUCUCGCCGCGUGCCCGUCAAAUCCAUCAUGCGUACCGUCAAAUCCCGCAACUUUCGCCGAACCACCCCUCCCUUUUUCCUCCUCUUCUUCCUUCUCCUUUUUUCCCCUCUCUUUUCUCUCUUUUCCUUUCUUUCUCCUUUCUUUCUCCUUCCUCCUUUCUCUCUCUCUUUCUUCUUCCUGCUGCCCCCCUUUUUUCCUUUCCUCUGGCGCUUGGCGCCUGGCUGCUUGCCGCCAGGGCGCCG
rnacentral:lncRNA from 1 species